rnacentral:rRNA from 1 species
AAUCUGGGGUCCACGACCUCCGAGUUGUAAUUUGGAGAGGCAUCUUCGGGGGGGAGCGCCGGCCCAUGUUCCUUGGAACAGGACGUCGCAGAGGGUGAGAAUCCCGUGCCAGGCCGGCUCCCUCCUCCCGCGUGAAGGGCCUUCGACGAGUCGAGUUGUUUGGGAAUGCAGCUCCAAGCGGGUGGUAAGUUUCAUCUAAAGCUAAAUACCGGCGGGAGACCGAUAGCGCACAAGUAGAGUGAUCGAAAGAUGAAAAGCACUUUGAAAAUAGAGUCAAAAAGUACGUGAAAUUGUUGAAAGGGAAGCGCUUGAGACCAGACUCAGGCCCGGGCAAACACCGCGCCCCCCGGGGCCGUGCAAUUGCCUGGGGCUGGGCCAGCAUCAGUCGGCGUGGCGGGACAAAGGCGCGGGGAAUGUGGCUCCCCUCGGGGAGUGUUAUCAGCCCCGCGCUCAAUGCCGCCGACGUCGACUGAGGACCGCGCCUCGGCUAGGAUGCUGGCUUAAUGGCCUUCAGCGACCCGUCUUGAAACACGGACCAAGGAGUCUAACAUCUAUGCGAGUGUUUGGGCGCCAAACCCUUGCGCGGAAUGAAAGUGAACGGAGGUGGGAACCCCCCAGCGGGGCGCACCAUCGACCGAUCCUGAUGUCUUCGGAUGGAUUUGAGUA